AAAGUAAUACGAUGGAGAGGCUUAUGAUCACUGUUGAUAUCAACUCAAAAGUAGCUCUUGCCAUCAAGAUGGUACUUUCUGGUAUAGGACCACCAACCCAUAGCAGACCAGGGGAUCUUGAUGUCAGCAUAAUAGUGAUUAUGAUAGAUUCAUCAGUACAGAG